rnacentral:rRNA from 1 species
GAUGAACUCUGGCGGCGUGCCUAAUACAUGCAAGUCGAGCGAAUCGGGGACGGGUGAGUCACACGUGGAUAACCUCCUAUCCGACUGGGAUAACUUCGGGAACCCGGAGCUACCCCGGCUCCUUAUAGAUGGAUCCUCGCUGCAUUAGCUAGUUGGUAAGGUAACGGCUUACCAAGGCAACUAUGCAUAGCCGACCUGAGAGGGGGAUCUGCCAAACUGGAACUGAGACACGGUCCAGACUCCUACGGGAGGCAGCAGUAGGGAAUCUUCCGCAAUGGGCGAAAGCCUGACGGAGCAACGCCGCGUGAGUGAUGAAGGUCUUCGGAUCGUAAAACUCUGUUAGUAGGGAAGCGGUACCUAAUCAGAAAGCCACGGCUAACUACGUGCCAGCAGCCGCGGUAAUUC